rnacentral:rRNA from 1 species
UACGAGGGGGCUAGCGUUGUUCGGAAUCACUGGGCGUAAAGCGCACGUAGGCGGAUUCUUAAGUCAGGGGUGAAAUCCCGGGAGCUCAACCUCGGAACUGCCUUUGAUACUGGGCAUCUCGAGUCCGGAGAGGUGAGUGGAAUUCCUAGUGUAGAGGUGAAAUUCGUAGAUAUUAGGAAGAACACCAGUGGCGAAGGCGGCUCCACUGGUCCGGUACUGACGCUGAGGUGCGAAAGCGUGGGGAGCAACAGG